AUUGGCGCUAAUACAACUCAGCUACAGGUGGGAUACUUUCUAUUGGCGCUAAUACAACUCAGCUACAGGUGGGAUACUUUCUAUUGGCGCUAAUACAACUCAGCUACAGGUGGGAUACUUUCUAUUGGCGCUAAUACAACUCAGCUACAGGUGGGAUACUUUCUAUUGGCGCUAAUACAACUCAGCUACAGGUGGGAUACUUUCUAUUGGCGCUAAUACAACUCAGCUACAGGUGGGAUACUUUCUAUUGGCGCUAAUACAACUCAGCUACAGGUGGGAUACUUUCUAUUGGCGCUAAUACAACUCAGCUACAGGUGGGAUACUUUCUAUUGGCGCUAAUACAACUCAGCUACAGGUGGGAUACUUUCUAUUGGCGCUAAUACAACUCAGCUACAGGUGGGAUACUUUCUAUUGGCGCUAAUACAACUCAGCUACAGGUGGGAUACUUUCUAUUGGCGCUAAUACAACUCAGCUACAGGUGGGAUACUUUCUAUUGGCGCUAAUACAACUCAGCUACAGGUGGGAUACUUUCUAUUGGCGCUAAUACAACUCAGCUACAGGUGGGAUACUUUCUAUUGGCUCUAAUACAACUCAGCUACAGGUGGGAUACUUUCUAUUGGCUCUAAUACAACUCAGCUACAGGUGGGAUACUUUCUAUUGGCGCUAAUACAACUCAGCUACAGGUGGGAUACUUUCUAUUGGCGCUAAUACAACUCAGCUACAGGUGGGAUACUUUCUAUUGGCGCUAAUACAACUCAGCUACAGGUGGGAUACUUUCUAUUGGCGCUAAUACAACUCAGCUACAGGUGGGAUACUUUCUAUUGGCGCUAAUACAACUCAGCUACAGGUGGGAUACUUUCUAUUGGCGCUAAUACAACUCAGCUACAGGUGGGAUACUUUCUAUUGGCGCUAAUACAACUCAGCUACAGGUGGGAUACUUUCUAUUGGCGCUAAUACAACUCAGCUACAGGUGGGGUACUUUCUAUUGGCGCUAAUACAACUCAGCAGUCGUUCGUCGUUAAGACUGCUUUUGAAAUGUUCAACUACAAUAAAAAAACGAGAACUAUUAUUGAUCCAGAAUGUAAAAAAAACAAAACAAGGAUCCAUGAAGCUUCAUUUUUAUUUCCUGUUGUUUUAUGGUCUGUUAUCAUGUGACCUUUUUGGAUUCAUAUCGCCAUGGUUACACUCAAGGGAGCACUUGAUGAAUGAUUUAGCCUCCAGAUUAUAAUCUCAUAAAACUCGUAACUACUCUGUAGAUAAAUUUUCGUUCCUCCGGUUGACCUUGACAACCUCUCUCUCUGUCUCUCUCUCUCUCUCUCUCUCUCUCUCUCUCUCUGUCUCUCUCUC